CCUACGGGAGGCAGCAGUGAGGAAUAUUGGACAAUGGGCGCAAGCCUGAUCCAGCCAUGCCGCGUGCAGGAAGACGGUCCUAUGGAUUGUAAACUGCUUUUGUACGGGAAGAAACACUCCUUCGUGAAGGAGCUUGACGGUACCGUAAGAAUAAGGAUCGGCUAACUCCGUGCCAGCAGCCGCGGUAAUACGGAGGAUCCAAGCGUUAUCCGGAAUCAUUGGGUUUAAAGGGUCCGUAGGCGGUUUAGUAAGUCAGUGGUGAAAGCCCAUCGCUCAACGGUGGAAUGGCCAUUGAUACUGCUAGACUUGAAUUAUUAGGAAGUAACUAGAAUAUGUAGUGUAGCGGUGAAAUGCUUAGAGAUUACAUGGAAUACCAAUUGCGAAGGCAGGUUACUACUAAUGGAUUGACGCUGAUGGACGAAAGCGUGGGUAGCGAACAGGAUUAGAUACCCUGGUAGUCCACGCCGUAAACCGAUGGAUACUAGCUGUUGGGGGCAACGUUCAGUGGCUAAGCGAAAGUGAUAAGUAUCCACCUGGGGAGUACGGUUCGCAAGAAUGAAACUCAAAGGAAUUGACGGCGNGAGAGNGCGAGACGACGACGAGGAGGAGG
rnacentral:rRNA from 1 species